rnacentral:rRNA from 1 species
CUCAGGGAGGUAGUGACAAGAAAUAACAACACUGGAGAUUUUGUUUCUAGUGAUUGGAAUGAUGGGAGUUUAAACCCCUUUCAGAGUAACAAUUGGAGGGCAAGUCUGGUGCCAGCAGCCGCGGUAAUUCCAGCUCCAAUAGCGUAUAUUAAAGUUGUUGCAGUUAAAAAGCUCGUAGUUGGAUGUCUGCUGGAAGCAAUCAGUCCGUCCUAUUUGUAGGGUGUGCACUUGAUGAAUUCUGGCAUCUAUGUCCCAAUGAUGUAUUAUUGUAUGAUGUGGCGUAUAUAGGUUAAUCCUAUAUACUACACAUCUAUAAUAUUAUUGGGAUAAUACCGUUACUUUGAGAAAAUUAGAGUGUUUGAAGCAGGCUAAUUGUUGCCUUGAAUACUGCAGCAUGGAAUAACAAUAUAGGAUUUCGGUUCUAUUUUGUUGGUUUCUAGGACUGAAAUAAUGAUUAAUAGGGACAGUUGGGGGCAUUCGUAUUUAACUGUCAGAGGUGAAAUUCUUAGAUUUGUUAAAGACGAACUACUGCGAAAGCAUUUGCCAAAGAUGUUUUCAUUAAUCAAGAACGAAAGUUAGGGGCUCGAAGACGAUCAGAUACCGUCGUAGUCUUAACCAUAAACUAUGCCGACUAGAGAUAGGAAAAUGUCAUUUUUCUGACUU